ensembl:lncRNA
UUUAUUUUGCCAUAGUUCUGUACAUGAUCUGUACCAAAAUGGUGUUACAUUCAGGAUGCCCAUCAGUGUUUCCGUAAGGCUGGUGGAGAUGGUAUGACUCUCCCAUGGAAAUGGAGCGAUCAGAGGAAGGCAUCACUGCUGAUGUUGGGCAAGAGUCACCACCAGACAUAAGUUACCCACAGAAGCAGAAAAUUACAGUGUGAAUAUGCAGUAAGGAAAACAGCUCCAGAUGACAAAUGCUCAGAAACUGCAUAAGAGCUCAUACUGAGAAAUGAUAGGGAAAAAUCAGUAUUUUUUUGUGCAUGUCUGUUGGAUGCAUAUGUACACGCUCUGAUUACAGGGAAGGGAACAAACAGCCUUUAAAGCUUGUUGCAGCCUUUUGAGGAGAAAAGUAAGAAAUUUGUGAUGUGGAUUUUUCCCAGCUUUGUGAUUAAGCUAAGAGCACUGCAUGACGUUUGGUUUGUCACACUGCCAAGAAGACAGUUCACAGAAGGCAGUACACUCUACUGAAAACAACUGGUUAAGCAUACACACCUUAAACAGACGGCAGAGAAGGUAAACAGGUGUACAAAGGUUGCAAACAUCAAGAAAAAAAUGAGAAUGCAGAACUAAAUAAUAUUGAAAUGGUUGAGGCCAGGUAUCAGAGAAAGCUUUUUGAUUAGUCUUGAUUUUGAUUAGUCUUGAGUGAAGCAAUGGAAAUCUCCACAAUUUUAACACUGUUAAUUCAAGUAAUUCAAUUGUAAAGCUUGUAAGAAACAAAAAAUGUCAGCGAUUGGUAAGAAAUAUUGAGACAUUUUCUGUUGCCAACUGUGGAGGCUGCACCCGGAUUGUCUCUUGCACGUAGGAGUCCAAACCACACGCAACUCGGCUUUUGUAAUUUAAAACACUAGGUGGCUCUCUUGGCUUCUUAAUGCAGUAUGUUCCAAGCUCACACAAGUUCUGAGAAGUAGAUACAGUUCAUAAAGAUGUUCUCCAUUUACAGUCAUUAUGGACUACAAGCUCUUAAAAUAAACAAAUAAAGAAAAAAUAAAGAAGAAUAAUUGCCUUCAUUGCCUGUGAUCAAAUUGGAACUGUAGCACCAGGAGCAUGAAGGAAUCGCUUUUCAGUUUCUCUCCUGCAUUUUACAGAACUUCCACAGGAUGGCUGUGUGGUGACUAGGAAGGGGGAAAAGGAAGCCUAUGAGUUCUGCUCCCAUCCACUGAGAAAGCUGGCAAAAGUAGUUUUAAGCUGGUGAUACACUCAUUCAGUUCUUGAGGCAUCUCGCACUGGUCUGUCCAACUGGCACACAUGAGGAAAACUGUCCUUUUCACCUUGAGCUGGUUACAAGUAACUCAAGGCAUCCCUUGGGUCCCUGCAGAUCCCCAAGGCAUGUAAAAAACCUUUCCUUCCCUUGGUGCUGAAAAGUGCUGAAAAACUGCCCUGAGGCAUUAACUCUGGAUCCCAUUCUUCACAAGUGAUGGCUGAGCUAGCUGCUAGUCAGAUAGCAUCUCUUCAGGACAAGAGCCCCAAAUCAACUUUACUUCUGGGUAAAAGUGGCUCCAUACUAUCAAGAAGGAAAAUUAAUGACUAAAAUACACUACAUGCUUUUCAGAAGCGUUACUGGAGAUGUUCAGUGCUUCCUUUCUUCUUCAGCCUUUGGGCACAUUAGCAUACCUACUCAGCUCAGAAAAGAAAUGGAUGCAUUUUUUCUUUCCCAGCAGCUUUGCAACUAUCUCCCUGAACAUGGCCUUAAUAGCUAAAUAUUUAAAAACUUUUCCUUCUUCCCAAGUGCAUAAUUUCAUCUGGAGUAGCCUUUGCAGAUUAUUUUGACAAUCAGCAGUAGGGAUAUCUAAUAUGACCAGGUUCAGUGUAUUAUGUACUGUUAAAGCAUUUAUUUAUGCAAAGAGAUAUAGUGGAUGAAGUUUACUCUUGCUGCUUUCCUAAAUACCCAAAUUCAGCACUCAACUACUAAAUAAAUACACAUUUGCUUACAAGAAGUUAAUAUUUUCCAAUUGUUCUGGAGUUGCACAUAUGUAAUAGU